rnacentral:lncRNA from 1 species
GUGGCUGCUUUGCAGUAACUAAAAGCACCGAAAGCCAACGUCGUAGCUUGCAACUCUGGGCUCGUGAAACUGCCGCGGAAGAUGAAGCGCUGGCGAAGAGGCAAUUGUAUGCAGCACCUUGUUCAGAGUAAAGUCAAAUUACAAAGUUGCGCAAAGUAUAACAUACAUAAACUUCAUUAAACAUAAGAACAGAUAAGACGUUUAGAGCCUUGUCGGUGACAUGGACGCCGCUGUUGGCUUGGAACAGCUAUUUGCUGUGCAUAGGGACGUGCCCGCGUUAGCCGUGUUGCAACAGUCUCAGGAUGGAUUUCAGCCAGCAACAGCCUCAAGAGCUGCUGCACAACCACCGGGAAUGUCUUCAGUUGAGCACGUGUAGUUUUGGUCGGCGGGGUCGAGCAACGUACGCAAUGCGCACAGAAACCAAGGUGCAGCGUUCUGUAACAUCGCCAACAUAUCCGGUACGCGGUGGCAGGCUUGCCGAACUCGAAAUGAAGGGGGGGUCGCAUCUCACCAUUCAACUAAGCAUGCAUGUGCUCGGUUGAAUGCUCGGUAGCGUGCGAGUUUACCCCUAUUAGGAUGCUUGUUUGCAUAUCCCUCCAAGCGAGAGGGCUUGGACCUAUGCUGAUGUUCGUUCCAAGAAGUGAACUGAGGACUGAUGCUACGGUGAAAGAUUUGCACGUAAAUUCGCCCGUGCAAUAAAUCGCCCUGUAACUCGCUUACGCUAAUCUCACAUUCCAAUAUGCCACUGCACUUUCCUCUCCAGCCUGGCCACAUUCUCUUCCUCGCAAACGUACUUGGGCACCUUACAAUCCAACACCAUACGGGCUUUGGAAACGCGGGCAGCUGCUUCACAAGGACCCCCCUAUUUUAAGCAGCCCCUCGCACAAAUGUGUCCGGUCGUACUUCGCGAAUAAAGUGUUCGUACAUCGUCCCAAAAAAGCCAGGAGCGAAUUUUGCCGCGCAGAUGCGCGCGUGCGAUUCACAAAAUGCGCCUGUACAAGUGUAUAUAAAUUUUCUUGGCGGAUGAGGACCACGUGCGCCAGCGCGUUGCGCAAGUGGGCAUGUUGGCCAUAGCCGCACGCGGCAUGCAUGCUGGACUAUUGCCUGGAUGCUUUGCAGUAACUGAAAGCACCCAAUGCCAACGUCCUAGCUUGCAACUCUGGGCUCGUGAAACUGCCGCGGAAGAUGAAGCGCUGGCGAAGAGGCAGUUGUAUGCAGCACCUUGUUCAGAGUAAAGUCAAAUUACAAAGUUGCGCAAAGUAUAACAUACAUAAACUUCAUUAAACAUAAGAACAGAUAAGACGUUUAGAGCCUUGUCGGUGACAUGGACGCCGCUGUUGGCUUGGAACAGCUAUUUGCUGUGCAUAGGGACGUGCCCGCGUUAGCCGUGUUGCAACAGCUCAGGAUGGAUUUCAGCCAGCAACAGCCUCGAGAGCUGCUGCACAACCACCGGGAAUGUCUUCAGUUGGGCACGUGUAGUUUUGGUCGGCGGGGUCGAGCAUCGUACGCAUUGCGCACAGAAACCAAGGUCCAGCGUUCUGUAACAUCGCCAACAUAUCCGGUACGCGGUGGCAGGCUUGCCGAGCACGAAAUGAAGGGGGGGUCGCAUCUCACCAUUCAACUAAGCAUGCAUGUGCUCGGUUGAAUGCUCGGUAGCGUGCGAGUUUACCCCUAUCAGGAUGUUUGUUUGCAUAUCCC